GACGAACGCUGGCGGCGUGCUUAACACAUGCAAGUCGAACGGAAAGGCCCUGCUUUUGUGGGGUGCUCGAGUGGCGAACGGGUGAGUAACACGUGAGUAACCUGCCCUUGACUUUGGGAUAACUUCAGGAAACUGGGGCUAAUACCGGAUAGGAGCUCCUGCUGCAUGGUGGGGGUUGGAAAGUUGCGGCGGUUGGGGAUGGACUCGCGGCUUAUCAGCUUGUUGGUGGGGUAGUGGCUUACCAAGGCUUUGACGGGUAGCCGGCCUGAGAGGGUGACCGGCCACAUUGGGACUGAGAUACGGCCACGCCUCCUCCGGGCGGCCGCCGUCGGGCGUCUUGCCCCCUGGGCGGCCGCCUGAUGCCGCAACGCCGCGUGCGGGAUGACGGCCUUCGGGUUGUACCCCGCUUUCGCCUGUGCCGCCGCGUGAGUGCCGGUCCUGGGUCCAGCCGCCCCGGCUCCCUCCGUG
rnacentral:rRNA from 1 species